GGAAUCUUGCGCAAUGGGCGAAAGCCUGACGCAGCAACGCCGCGUGCGGGAAGAAGGCUUUCGGGCUGUAAACCGCUUUCAGUAGGAACGAAACUGACGGUACCUACAGAAGAAGGAGCGGCCAACUAUGUGCCAGCAGCCGCGGUGACACAUAGGCUCCAAGCGUUGUCCGGAUUUAUUGGGCGUAAAGAGCUCGUAGGCGGUUGAGUAAGUCGGGUGUGAAAACUUUGGGCUUAACCCAAAGAUGCCACUCGAUACUGCUUUGACUUGAGUUCGGUAGGGGAGUGGGGAAUUCCUUGUGUAGCGGUGAAAUGCGCAGAUAUAAGGAGGAACACCGGUGGCGAAGGCGCCACUCUGGGCCGAUACUGACGCUGAGGAGCGAAAGCGUGGGGAGCAAACGGGAUUAGAUACCCUGGUAGUCCACGCGGUAAACGGUGGUCACUAGGUGUGGGUCUCUACCAAUGAGAUCUGCGCCGUCGCUAACGCAUUAAGUGACCCGCCUGGGGAGUACGGUCGCAAGACUAAAACUCAAAGGAAUUGACGG
rnacentral:rRNA from 1 species